ensembl:misc_RNA Metazoa_SRP Metazoan signal recognition particle RNA
GCUGGGUGUGGUGGUGCACACCUGUAAUCCCAGCUGCUCAGGAAGCUGAGGCAGGAGAAUCGCUUGAAACCAGGAGGGGGAGGUUGCAGUGAGCCGAGAUCGCGCCACUGCACUCCAGCCUGGUUGACAGAGUGAGACACUGUCUCAA